UGGGGAAUAUUGCACAAUGGGCGCAAGCCUGAUGCAGCCAUGCCGCGUGUGUGAAGAAGGCCUUCGGGUUGUAAAGCACUUUCAGCGAGGAGGAAGGUGGUGAGCUUAAUACGCUCAUCAAUUGACGUUACUCGCAGAAGAAGCACCGGCUAACUCCGUGCCAGCAGCCGCGGUAAUACGGAGGGUGCAAGCGUUAAUCGGAAUUACUGGGCGUAAAGCGCACGCAGGCGGUUUGUUAAGUCAGAUGUGAAAUCCCCGGGCUCAACCUGGGAACUGCAUUUGAAACUGGCAAGCUAGAGUCUCGUAGAGGGGGGUAGAAUUCCAGGUGUAGCGGUGAAAUGCGUAGAGAUCUGGAGGAAUACCGGUGGCGAAGGCGGCCCCCUGGACGAAGACUGACGCUCAGGUGCGAAAGGCGUGGGGCAGCAAACAGGAUUAGAUACCCUGGUAGUCCACGCUGUAAACGAUGUCGAUUUGGAGGUUGUGCCCUUGAGGCGUGGNUUCCGGAGCUAACGCGUUAAAUCGACCGCCUGGGGAGUACGGCCGCAAGGUUAAAACUCAAAGGAAUUGAC
rnacentral:rRNA from 1 species